UAACUGGAGAGUUUGAUUCUGGCUCAGAACGAACGCUGGCGGCGUGCCUAACACAUGCAAGUCGCGCGAGAUAGUCCCCGCAAGGGGAUGUGUAAAGCGGCGAACGGGUGAGUAGCACAUGGGUAAUUUACCCUUCUGAUCGGGACAACCCCGCGAAAGCGGAGCUAAUACCGGAUAUGACCACGAGGACGAAAGUUCUUGAGGUAAAAGAUGGCCUCUGCUUGCAAGCUAUCACAGAAGGAUGAGCCCGUGGCCCAUCAGCUAGUUGGUAGGGUAAUGGCCUACCAAGGCAAUGACGGGUAGCUGGUCUGAGAGGACGAUCAGCCACACUGGAACUGAGACACGGUCCAGACUCCUACGGGAGGCAGCAGUGGGGAAUAUUGCGCAAUGGGGGAAACCCUGACGCAGCAACGCCGCGUGAGUGAUGAAGGCCUUCGGGUCGUAAAGCUCUGUCUAGGGGGAAGAAUGUCCAGGAUUCUAACAGGAUCUUGGAGUGACGGUACCCCUGGAGGAAGCACCGGCUAACUCCGUGCCAGCAGCCGCGGUAAAACGGAGGGUGCAAGCGUUGUUCGGAAUUACUGGGCGUAAAGCGCGGGCAGGCGGUCUUUUAAGUCCUUUGUGAAAUCCCGGGGCUCAACUCCGGAUGUGCAUAGGAUACUGGAGGACUGGAGACUGGUAGAGGCGAGUGGAAUUCCUGGUGUAGCGGUGGAAUGCGUAGAGAUCAGGAAGAACACCGGUGGCGAAGGCGGCUCGCUGGGCCAUUGCUGACGCUGAGGCGCGAAAGCGUGGGGAGCAAACAGGAUUAGAUACCCUGGUAGUCCACGCUGUAAACGAU
rnacentral:rRNA from 1 species